CCUACGGGAGGCAGCAGUGGGGAAUAUUGCACAAUGGGGGAAACCCUGAUGCAGCAACGCCGCGUGAGUGAAGAAGUAUUUCGGUAUGUAAAGCUCUAUCAGCAGGGAAGAAGAUGACGGUACCUGAUUAAGAAGCCCCGGCUAACUACGUGCCAGCAGCCGCGGUAAUACGUAGGGAGCGAGCGUUAUCCGGAUUUACUGGGUGUAAAGGGUGCGUAGGCGGGUGUGCAAGUCUGGAGUGAAAUCCAUGGGCCCAACCCCGGAACUGCUGUGGAAACUGUUCGGCUAGGGUAAAGUAGAGGCAGGCGGAAUUCCUGGUGUAGCGGUGAAAUGCGUAGAUAUCAGGAGGAACACCAGUGGCGAAGGCGGCCUGCUGGACAGUAACUGACGCUGAAGCUCGAAAGCGUGGGUAGCAAACAGGAUUAGAUACCCUUGUAGUC
rnacentral:rRNA from 1 species